ACUCGCUGGAGAGAGAGCAGCCUCCGGAGGCGCCGGGCGGAGCUGGGCGUACCCGAAGCCCCUGUCCCGGCCAAGCCAACAACGCGGUCUCACCCCGCCUCUAGCCUGACUUUGUCAGCGAUCAUAAAAUGGGAAUUGAUCAUUCGAGCCACCAUUGAUUAGGGAAGAAUGCUUACUGCAGCAGCAGGGGAAAGGUUAAGAGGAAAUUGACCUUCUCCGUAGGUGACAUAAAGUCAUUAGGUAAAUGAGAUAUUCACACUGGAGUUUUAAAAGGUCAUGCUCAAUUUUUAUUUGCAGCCUGAAAAGUCAAGCUGGAGCUCCGGCUUAAGGUAGGGACUUCCAUUCCUAGGGACCCGGGCACCGAUCAGAAUGAAGUCCUGCUGCGCCGGCCAGAGGCGAAAGUGGGAUGUGGAUUGCCAUCUGGAAGACUUCGGCUGGACUCCGAGCGGGUCCUGGCGGCCCCAGCUUUGGACCUGCCGCUGGACCCGAGCGCGUUUUUGAGUGUGAGAUGCGCUCCCGCGGCCCAGUAUUCCCACCGCCACAGCGUGCAAAAGGAUCUCUGGCCAAAGUCGACCUCUCAGCAUCAGCAACACCUCCCCUUCCCUAGCCCACCAUGUCUCCUACACAGUGAAAGUGUUUUGUUGUUGUUGAUGUUGUUGUUGUUGUUGUUGUAAAGGAGAGAGUGAGAGAGAUAUUUAUGCACAUAUUUAUCCCUCUAAUUAUAGGAAUUAAUCCUCUUAUGACUAAAAGGUAACGUGGAAGGACGUCCUUUUGAUGUGGAAAAGCACCAUUUGUGACUCACAUUCAGACUGAUUAAGGAAUAAUUGUUGUUAAACGCUUUUAAGAGGAGAGUGUUUAAUUGAGGGGCAUUCGUAAUUUUACGGCUUAGUGCAAAAUUAAACGUAAUUAAAAACUCAGAAAUUCCAACUGAUUUUCCAAUUAUUUUUAUUGUCUGAGCUAAUUGUUACACAAGGGUAUCACUUCUCCCCCAAAGGCAUUGGGGAAAAGAGGUGGGAGGUGGGAGGUGGGAGGCAAUCAUACCUUGUCCAAAUAUUCUCCAACUGAAGAGUCCAGCGUCCAGAAAGACCUCCUUGGUUGCACCUUACCUCCCCAAGCCCCGCCCGGGGUCCCGAGUGGCACCCCGCCCUCCCCUUGGCAAUUAAGCAUUACAGGCACUCUCCCCUCGCUCCGAGUUCCGCCAACACCUUGGGAUGUGAGAAAGUGAUGGCAGCUCUCUUCUGCAGAUCAUUACGGCAAAACCUGGAAGUAUCUAGAGAAGGCCGAUGACUAUCUUCAAGUAACACUUGCCAUACAUAGCCGAGGGAUUUAAAAAAAAAUGAGUAAACACAGCUCUCUGGGGGAUGAUCCCUCCACGCCCUUGCUUUUGAGCUUGGGGGGGGGGGGUCAUGCACAAACAUGAGACACGCGUGCACGACCUACAGACGCAAGCAGCAAACUUUUUUCUGCCUUGCACUUUAUUUAUUUACUUACUUAUUUGAGGCAAAGAUGAGCAUGGAAACGCUCAGACAUUUUUCCUUCCUUCCUUCCU
rnacentral:lncRNA from 1 species